UAAGGAAUAUUGGUCAAUGGUGGGAACACUGAACCAGCCAUCCCGCGUGCAGGACGAAGGCCCUCUGGGUUGUAAACUGCUUUUAACAGGAAAGAAACGAGUGGACUUGUCCGCUCCUGACGGUACCUGUGGAAUAAGCACCGGCUAACUCCGUGCCAGCAGCCGCGGUAAUACGGAGGGUGCAAGCGUUAUCCGGAAUCACUGGGUUUAAAGGGUGCGUAGGCGGCCUGGUAAGUCAGAGGUGAAAGCU
rnacentral:rRNA from 1 species